AGCCGCCCACCACAAAAAAAAGGGGAGCUUUCAUAAACAUUUAAUGGAAUUCUAGAUGAGUAACGUCUCUCGGACAUUUUAGCAAAACAGCUUGUGUGCAUGUUCAUCAAUUGCACUCAUUUUAUCACAUACACAGAAACGGACAUAGAAAACAGAGGGAGGCUGCUCACAAUUACGUUGAGCAGGAUUUAAUCAUAAGAAGGGAUCACCCAUUUAGACUCAUUUGCUCUCAUACCCACAAUCACUGUUCUCACUCAAAUCGCUAAAUCCUAAGACGAAACAAGAGGAGCUGCUGCUUCGGAUUUCGAUCCUAUGCCUCGUCUACAUUUUGGCAUUUAGAAGAUUCGAGCGAAUCUUGGACAGAUUUUCGGGGAAGAGAAGAAGAACGAGGGUUUUUGAAUUUCGGAUUCCAAUUUGGCCUCUCCUUAUUUUUUUUGUUCCAGUUGAUUAACACAAAAAAAAUGAAUUCCUCUUAGUUUCAACUUGUUUCCAAUUAAAAAAAAAAUCAAUUUCUUCAAUUAAUUUUUGUUUUGAGCUAUGGAUUUUAGCUGAGGAUUCAAAUCUGUUUCGAGCCUGCCGUGUAUGUUUUCUUUGGCUGGAUUUGCUUUGGUGUUAGAAUCGCUAACUCGAGGUGUUUUCGAUCCGAGCCUGCAAUCGAGGUUUCGGCCAGUUUGAAGGUUCUAGUCUCAAUUCUUCGUUCAAGCUUGUUCUCCAUGGUUCCAUCAUUGUAGCUGCUGAAAUUUAAUUGAAAGUUGGCGCAUAAAGGUAUUUGCUUAAUCUCCAAUGGCCAAAGGCUAAGGAAACUUGUAAUUGAAGUUUAUGGUUUGAAAUGAAAGGCUGAUCUAAGUGCUCAGAUUGCUUAAAUUCCUGUUUAUUCAUGUGUAUUGUUCGUAUGACAAAUUGCUCAUGUCAAUUUCAUGUUUAGCCUACUUAUGUACACGUUAGUUUACAUGUAAGAUUCCAUAGUAGCAGCAUCUGAAAUUUAAUGAACUAAGACUUAUGAUGAUUGUAUAAGUGGACUGUUUUCCUCUUA